rnacentral:rRNA from 1 species
AGUGAACGCUGGCGGUAGGCCUAACACAUGCAAGUCGAACGGCAGCACAGUAAGAGCUUGCUCUUACGGGUGGCGAGUGGCGGACGGGUGAGGAAUACAUCGGAAUCUACUUUUUCGUGGGGGAUAACGUAGGGAAACUUACGCUAAUACCGCAUACGACCUACGGGUGAAAGCAGGGGAUCUUCGGACCUUGUGCGAUUGAAUGAGCCGAUGUCGGAUUAGCUAGUUGGCGGGGUAAAGGCCCACCAAGGCGACGAUCCGUAGCUGGUCUGAGAGGAUGAUCAGCCACACUGGAACUGAGACACGGUCCAGACUCCUACGGGAGGCAGCAGUGGGGAAUAUUGGACAAUGGGCGCAAGCCUGAUCCAGCCAUACCGCGUGGGUGAAGAAGGCCUUCGGGUUGUAAAGCCCUUUUGUUGGGAAAGAGAAGCAGUAGGUUAAUACCCCGCUGUUCUGACGGUACCCAAAGAAUAAGCACCGGCUAACUUCGUG